rnacentral:rRNA from 1 species
GAAGGCAAGCGGAUCUCUUAAAGCUGUUCUCAGUUCGGACUGCAGUCUGCAACUCGACUGCACGAAGCUGGAAUCGCUAGUAAUCGCGGAUCAGCACGCCGCGGUGAAUACGUUCCCGGGCCUUGUACACACCGCCCGUCACACCAUGGAAGUCUGCAAUGCCCGAAGCCGGUGGCCUAACCACUUAUGUGGAAGGAGCCGUCUAAGGCAGGGCAGAUGACUGGGGUGAAGUCGUAACAAGGUACC